rfam:Danio rerio unplaced genomic contig CTG470, GRCz11 reference primary assembly.
GCUUGGAUAGCUCAGUCAGUAGAGCAUCAGACUUUUAAUCUGAGGGUACAGGGUUCAAGCCCAUGUUUGGGUU